rnacentral:rRNA from 2 species
AAAUUGAAGAGUUUGAUCAUGGCUCAGAUUGAACGCUGGCGGCAGGCCUAACACAUGCAAGUCGAACGGUAACAGGAAGCAGCUUGCUGCUUUGCUGACGAGUGGCGGACGGGUGAGUAAUGUCUGGGAAACUGCCUGAUGGAGGGGGAUAACUACUGGAAACGGUGGCUAAUACCGCAUAACGUCGCAAGACCAAAGAGGGGGACCUUCGGGCCUCUUGCCAUCAGAUGUGCCCAGAUGGGAUUAGCUUGUUGGUGAGGUAACAGCUCACCAAGGCGACGAUCCCUAGCUGGUCUGAGAGGAUGACCAGCCACACUGGAACUGAGACACGGUCCAGACUCCUACGGGAGGCAGCAGUGGGGAAUAUUGCACAAUGGGCGCAAGCCUGAUGCAGCCAUGCCGCGUGUAUGAAGAAGGCCUUCGGGUUGUAAAGUACUUUCAGCGGGGAGGAAGGUGUUG